AUUGAACGCUGGCGGCAGGCUUAACACAUGCAAGUCGAGCGGAGUGAUGGUGCUUGCACUAUCACUUAGCGGCGGACGGGUGAGUAAUGCUUAGGAAUCUGCCUAUUAGUGGGGGACAACAUCUCGAAAGGGAUGCUAAUACCGCAUACGUCCUACGAGAGAAAGCAGGGGAUCACUUGUGACCUUGCGCUAAUAGAUGAGCCUAAGUCGGAUUAGCUAGUUGGUGGGGUAAAGGCCUACCAAGGCGACGAUCUGUAGCGGGUCUGAGAGGAUGAUCCGCCACACUGGGACUGAGACACGGCCCAGACUCCUACGGGAGGCAGCGGUGGGGAAUAUUGGACAAUGGGGGGAACCCUGAUCCAGCCAUGCCGCGUGUGUGAAGAAGGCCUUAUGGUUGUAAAGCACUUUAAGCGAGGAGGAGGCUCUUUUGGUUAAUACCCAAGAUGAGUGGACGUUACCCGCAGAAUAAGCACCGGCUAACUCUGUGCCAGCCGCCGCCGUAA
rnacentral:rRNA from 1 species